CAGGCAGCGGGUGGCACUACUGCUAAAAUUAAAAAUUUCCAUCACCAACGAUAAUCCUAAAAACCAAAGUCAUGAAUCGGCAUCCUCUUCUUUGCUCUUCAUCAUCGUCGGACGUUUUAUACGUUUCUUCAAUAACAUCAAAUACUUGAGUUUUAACCUCAGUAGGCGUCAUACGACGAAAUUUACAAUUGUGACCAAUGAUCAGUGCAGCUGUGGAUACCUUCUAUCUGACAGAUGAACAGCUCCAUAACAGUCCUUCUAGAAAAGAUGGAAUAGAUGAAGCCACAGAGACAACACUUAGAAUCUAUGGGUGUGAUCUUAUUCAAGAGAGUGGCAUUUUGCUUAGGAUGUAUCCUUUUGACAAUCGAUAUUUAUCUAUUGUUGUAUAAUCAAUAUUUGUCAUCAUUUUAACUUCUAAGAAUCUAGCUAUAGAUUCUUUAUUUCUAUGUUUGCUGAAUAAUUGGAACAAUUAUAAACAUUCUUAACUAUAUUUCAUGUUAAUAUACAGACCACAACAUGUGAUGGCAACAGGUCAGGUUUUGUUUCAUCGAUUCUAUUGCAAGACAUCAUUCGUUCGUUUCAAU